GCUUUACAAAGGCACUCUAUUGGUGUCACAUAGCUUUUGCUGGUUAUUAUAUGACCUUACUCUAACCCUAAACCCAACUCUCAAUGGAAACCAAUGGCAAAUUCCAAUGUCAAAAAGGGGUUUAUGAGGACACAAUAUUGUAUAAUAGCACGGGUAUGACCUCUAUUAAGCUGGUUAACAAGGACAUUUAUUGUGUUCUUUGUGUUCUUGUAAUUAAAUGCUCCACAGUGUCUUUUGACAUUAACAUUUGCCACAUUUCCUGUGAGGGUUGGGUUUAGGGGUAGUGUAAGGUCAUAUAAUACCAGUUUAAAAACAUUACACCAAUGGAUAGUCUUCGUAAACCAUAUGUACAAGUGUGCGUGUGUAUGAUUGUACUUGUUUAUGUGGUUUACGAGGACACUAUAUUGUGUAAUGGCAUUGGUAUGACCUCUAUUAAGGUCAGGGGUGUCCUAACUCAGGCCUGGAGGGCCGGUGUCCUGCACAGUUUGGCUUCAACUUCCUUCAACACGCCUGCUUGGAAGUUUGCAGUCCACCUAAAAAGAGCUUAAUUAGCUGGUUCAGGUGUGUUUAAUUGGGGUUGGAACUAAAAUAAGCAGGACACUGGCCCUCCAGGACAGUUUAGACACCCCUGAUUAAGGUGGUUUAAAAAGGCAUUUAUUGUGUCCUCGUAAUUCAAAAAUGCUUUACAGGGUCUUUUGACUUUUCAGUUUUGCCACUGGAUUUCAUUGGGGGUUGGGUUUAAGGGUAUGGUAAGGUCAUAUGAUAACCAUAUAAUAGUAUAAAUUACAUUACGCCAGUGGAAAGUCCUCGUAAACCAUAAAUACAAGUGUGCAUGCGUGUAUGGAUCAGACAAGUAGCACAAAUGUUAACAAUAAUCUUAUUUAACGACUGUUAAAUGGGACAAUGGGGUCUAUAUACAGUAUUAGAGUGUAUAUUAGUGUUUGUCAAAGUAUAUUGUGUCGUUCAUUUGAUGUUGAUUGAUCGACUGAUUGAUUGAUUUCCAAAGUAAACGCAAAGAGCUAUUAAUAAAAAGAAAUGAAUCAUUUAAAACAC